GAUGAACGCUGGCGGCGUGCCUAAUACAUGCAAGUCGAGCGAACGGACGAGAAGCUUGCUUCUCUGAUGUUAGCGGCGGACGGGUGAGUAACACGUGGAUAACCUACCUAUAAGACUGGGAAAACUUCGGGAAACCGGAGCUAAUACCGGAUAAUAUUUUGAACCGCAUGGUUCAAAAGUGAAAGACGGUCUUGCUGUCACUUAUAGAUGGAUCCGCGCUGCAUUAGCUAGUUGGUAAGGUAACGGCUUACCAAGGCAACGAUGCAUAGCCGACCUGAGAGGGUGAUCGGCCACACUGGAACUGAGACACGGUCCAGACUCCUACGGGAGGCAGCAGUAGGGAAUCUUCCGCAAUGGGCGAAAGCCUGACGGAGCAACGCCGCGUGAGUGAUGAAGGUCUUCGGAUCGUAAAACUCUGUUAUUAGGGAAGAACAUAUGUGUAAGUAACUGUGCACAUCUUGACGGUACCUAAUCAGAAAGCCACGGCUAACUACGUG
rnacentral:rRNA from 1 species